UCCUAACUUUCAUCUCCCCGCAAAAAAAAAAAAGAAUUGCAGACAGACAAAGAUCAAAACUUUUGGCGUUUCAGACCUUUUUUCUAGAAUGGUCCAAUGGAAAACAAUCUUUUCCUUAAGAUUCUUAACCAAAGACUGUAAGGAACUUCCUUAACUCCAUGCUCUUAAAAUCAACCCGGAGGAAUUAUGCGACCGCUGAGUUGGACUUGAUUGAAAGUAGGGACAAACCAAAUCUCCAACAUUUGGAUCACUUUGAAGGAUAUACUUACA
rnacentral:lncRNA from 1 species